UACGGAGGAUCCGAGCGUUAUCCGGAUUUAUUGGGUUUAAAGGGUGCGCAGGCGGGGGAUUAAGUCGGCGGUGAAAUUUUGCAGCUCAACUGUAAAAGUGCCUUCGAAACUGGUUUCCUUGAGUGUAGAUGAAGUAGGCGGAAUUUGUGGUGUAGCGGUGAAAUGCUUAGAUAUCACGAGGAACUCCGAUUGCGCAGGCAGCUUACUAAACUACUACUGACGCUCAGGCACGAAGGCGUGGGGAUCAAACAGGAUUAGAUACCCGGUAGUCCCUGA
rnacentral:rRNA from 1 species